GACGAACGCUGGCGGCGCGCCUAACACAUGCAAGUCGAACGGAGCUGAGAGAAGCUUGCUUUUCUUAGCUUAGUGGCGAACGGGUGAGUAACGCGUGAGUAACCUGCCCUGGAGUGGGGGACAACAGUUGGAAACGACUGCUAAUACCGCAUAAGCCCACGGCCCGGCUUCGGGCUGAGGGAAAAGGAUUUAUUCGCUUCAGGAUGGACUCGCGUCCAAUUAGCUAGUUGGUGAGGUAACGGCCCACCAAGGCGACGAUUGGUAGCCGGACUGAGAGGUUGAACGGCCACAUUGGGACUGGGACACGGCCCAGACUCCUACGGGAGGCAGCAAUGGGGGAUAUUGCACAAUGGGGGAGACCCUGAUGCAUCGACGCCGCGUGGAGGAAGAAGGUUUUCGGAUUGUAAACGCCUGUCGUUAGGGACGAUAAUGACGGUACCUAACAAGAAAGCGCCGGCUAACUACGUG
rnacentral:rRNA from 1 species